CAUGUUGGAACCACUGUCUGUGUUGCAACUUCGAAUACGUUCUGGUAUGUCAUGGCUAUGUUCUAUUUCUCGCGUAAUACUUUAAUUAAAAUACUUUAUUCCUGAUAGAUUAAAAUUAUGAAUGUGUAGGCAUGUUCUAUUGCAACACUAACAGAUUAUUUUAAGACCUUUGACAUCGUUGUUAUGUACUUGCCUUGGUGCCACCAUCAUGGCGGCAUGAAGGUGGUUUUCUUACUUCUGUUUUGUUGUCACAAAUAGUUUUGCGGUCUAGUUAAAUUCAUCAAUGCAUUUUUAGAACAAUGUUUGUGGUUUGAAAAGAAACAGGACACUUCUAGUGUUCUAAUGAAAGUUUUCUCUAAAAAUAAUACAGCAUAACAAAUAAUUUAAUAGAUUAUACAACAACAUUGAACUAUUUCUUAUGUCAAAACAUAUUUUCUUUACAGUCAAUAUGAUGCUGUUUACCAUUGAUGAUGUUCGAUUACUAGUGAAGGCAAAUGGAUGAGAAGAAAGAGGCUUGCGGUUAUCUUCAAGCCCAGGCCAGUAAAAUGGCGUAAGAAAUGGAGAACCUGUAGAUGCAGGGUGUUGGCGGACCCAAGACCACUGCUGCUGGACCACCCAGACGAAGAACAGACACUUCCAACAUUCCCUCACCUCAUCCCGUGCUUUUAGUCGGAGAUCCAAGCCAAAGAAUCGAUCCACGGGAAUAGUGUUCACUCAGAUUCGAUUUUAUCGCCUUGCAAAAGACCUUCAUCAAAUUUCGAAACUAGAACGCUUUUUUGUUAUAGGAAGAGACACAGAUAUCCUACCGAGUAAAAUUCCAUUUGAACUACUUGUGGACUAAGUUUGCCCCCAGUCAAACUGAUUGAAGAAAAUUCGCCGCAGCCGCAAACCUCUUGUGGUUAUUCCAUGAAAAUUGAUUUGGAAUUCGAUCAAGUGCUGCCGAAUUUGGAUCGUGGAUCGCAUCAUUCCUUUGGCUGAAGAAGAUCUCUGUUUUCUCAGAUGACCCGGUCCGUUCACAGCUCACAAAUCUGGUCCAGGAUCAACUCGCUUAUUCAUGCCAUUUGGGGACUCCUUGGCCGAAUUUUCCGAUCUCGUACCAAAUGAAGUUGUUGUUCACCAUUCGACAUCGGAAAUCACCACAGUUCCAGUGAUCGGUAAAAGAUUGAUUUAUCCUAUUUUAUUUGAAAUUGUCACAA